rfam:Bacterium P201 scaffold_20, whole genome shotgun sequence.
GCGGGUGUGGCGGAAUUGGUAGACGCGCUAGACUUAGGAUCUAGUUUCUCACGAAGUAAGGGUUCGAGUCCCUUCAUCCGCA